AUGAUCGAACAUUAUUUCUGGUUGUGUUCAUGAAGCUUUUUCUGGAGGAAAUUCGCAUUUGAAUUGAUGGACUGAAUAAAGCAGAUUGCAGUCCCCAGUGUGGAUGGGCUUGAUCCAGUCUUCUAAGGACCCAAAUAAAAUAGGUGGAGGAAGCUUGAAUUUUCUGCCUGACUGUGGCGCUGGGACACCCAUCUUCUCCUGCCCUUGAACUGGGACUGACACCAUCAGUGCUCCUGGUUCUCAGACCUUCGGACAGCAGACUUGGGGCCUUCUCGGCCUCCAUUAUUGUAGGAGAAAAUGAGACACUGAGUGGGACUCAGGGAUUGCUCCAGGCCACACAGUCAGCAGGAGGCAAAGCCCAGAUUCAAAUGCAGAUUACUCAGCUCCACAAUCCACAUCCUCACAGGAGGCUGCACUCCUUGCCCAAGCGUCAGACAGGAGCAAAGAGAAAGAAGGCAACCAGCUGGCUACUUUCUUCCCUUCUUGGAUGCCUCCAACAGGGUGAGAAGGACUAAACAAAUGACCAAGUGUCAUCCCAUUUUGGACAUACUUAAAACACCCCAUGGAAUUUUUAUUCUGACUUUCUUCUGCCUGUGUGGCAUUUAUGUUUAAAUAAAAGAGAAUUCAACU
rnacentral:lncRNA from 1 species